rnacentral:rRNA from 1 species
AUGUGAAAAUCAGGAGCUCAACCCCUGACCUGCAUCCGAUACGGUCGAGCUAGAGUUUGGGUAGGGGGAGACUGGAAUUCCUGGUGUAGCGGUGGAAUGCGCAGAUAUCAGGAGGAAACACCGAUGGGCGAAGGCAGGUCUCUGGGCCAAUACUGACACUGAGGGAGCGAAAGCGUGGGGAGCGAACAGGAUUAGAUACCCUGGUAGUCCACGCCGUAAACGGUGGGCGCUAGUUGUGCGAACCUUCCACGGUUUGUGCGACGCAGCUAACGCAUUAAGCGCCCCGCCUGGGGAGUACGAUCGCAAGAUUAAAACUCAAAGGAAUUGACGGGGCCCCGCACAAGCAGCGGAGCAUGCGGCUUAAUUCGACGCAACGCGAAGAACCUUACCAAGGCUUGACAUAUACAGGAAUAUGGCAGAGAUGUCAUAGCCGCAAGGUCUGUAUACAGGUGGUGCAUGGUUGUCGUCAGCUCGUGUCGUGAGAUGUUGGGUUAAGUCCCGCAACGAGCGCAACCCUCGUUCUGUGUUGCCAGCAUUAAGUUGGGGACUCACAGGAGACUGCCGGGGUUAACUCGGAGGAAGGUGGGGAUGACGUCAAAUCAUCAUGCCCCUUAUGUCUUGGGCUGCACGCAUGCUACAAUGGCUGGUACAAACGGCUGCGAUACCGCAAGGUGGAGCGAAUCCGAUAAAGCCAGUCUCAGUUCGGAUUGGGGUCUGCAACUCGACCCCAUGAAGUCGGAGUUGCUAGUAAUCGUAGAUCAGCAACGCUACGGUGAAUACGUUCCCGGGGCUUGUACACACCGCCCGUCACAUCACGAAAGUCGGUAACACCCAAAGUCAGUGGCCCAACCGUAAGGAGGGGGCUGCCAAAGGUGGGAUCGGUGAUUGGGAUGAAGUCGUAACAAGGUA